GACGAACGCUGGCGGCGUGCCUAAUACAUGCCAGUAGAACGCUGAAGAGAGGAGCUUGCUCUUCUUGGAUGAGUUGCGAACGGGUGAGUAACGCGUAGGUAACCUGCCUUGUAGCGGGGGAUAACUAUUGGAAACGAUAGCUAAUACCGCAUAACAAUGGAUGACACAUGUCAUUUAUUUGAAAGGGGCAAUUGCUCCACUACAAGAUGGACCUGCGUUGUAUUAGCUAGUAGGUGAGGUAAUGGCUCACCUAGGCGACGAUACAUAGCCGACCUGAGAGGGUGAUCGGCCACACUGGGACUGAGACACGGCCCAGACUCCUACGGGAGGCAGCAGUAGGGAAUCUUCGGCAAUGGGGGCAACCCUGACCGAGCAACGCCGCGUGAGUGAAGAAGGUUGUCGGAUCGUAAAGCUCUGUUGUAAGUCAAGAACGGGUGUGAGAGUGGAAAGUUCACACUGUGACGGUAGCUUACCAGAAAGGGACGGCUAACUACGUG
rnacentral:rRNA from 1 species